rnacentral:lncRNA from 10 species
UGACAGAGCGAGACUCCGUCUCAACAACAACAACAACAACAACAAAUCACCAAGACUGGAUUCCUGUUGCAGCUGAUGGAAUUAGGAAAGUGGGGGCUCAGAAAAGUGAUUUUUUAGUACUGACUUGAUAGCCAGCUUCACCUUUUUGAGAAAAGAACUCUAAUUCCAGAAGACCUAACCAGCGCCAAUGGGGAAAUGGCAAGAGGGUAGAUCCACAAUAAGCAGAGCUUUCCCGCAGCCAGCUUUCCCGUAUUCAGAUAGGAAGCAGCAGGCAGCGUGUCAGCCUCUUCCUCCCCUGACAUGCUGGGAGAGGGCAUAGAAGCCCAUCUCCUGAGGACAUUGAAGAGGGGUCCUAACAUGCGGGCAGGGGAAGGGGACUAGGUUAACAUCUGCCUAUGAGUUCAAAUUCUUUGAUUCUAGAUUAUCACACAACAGUCUUCAGAAAAUGUCUAUUCCUCAGAAGUUAGAAAACAGUUGUUUUGUACAAAAUAUACAAUUGUAUAUUUUGUGUAUUGUAUAUUUGUAUUUUGUUACUUAUUUGUGACAUGUAUUUAUGAAUGAGAAUCCUUUUGUUAAAGCAAAAGCAUUUGAACACUCUCUGCUGGUCUGAGAACUUCAUAUUUCUUCAGUAAAUCAUUAUAAUCUGAGCACACGGACAGCAUCCUUGCUUCUGGCGCCAAGAAGUACAAUCAACUGGUGGAGAGUGUUUCUUAAAUGAAAGUGGUGUUUCCAGUUGGCAAAACAGAUUAUUUUUGCUAUUAAAGAAAUUGAUUUCUUAACACAUGUGAUUAAUUAUGUCUGUAAAACAGAAAAUCC